ACUUUUUUAAUAUAACCAAUAUAGAUGACUUCCACUCAUCUAAUCUCAGAUUAACCUGGGAAAAAGUA
rnacentral:tRNA from 1 species